UGGUAAUCUUGAGUACUGGCUUCUGAAACUGUGCUUUUUGUCGUUUAGCUCUGGAGCUGCAUUCUCCUGGCUGCCAGCAGGGGGAGUGCUUUCCUGCGCAUUAACAGAAGCGUUCUCUGCCUUCCCUCCUUUGCUAUUCUUUGUCUUUUUAACCUUUUCUUUGUCCUGGGACUCAUUGGUGAAUGUGUUUGGGUCUGUAGCGGCCUCUAGUGCUGGCAGGGUGUCAGGGGGCAAGUCAGUGGGAGUGGGUUUGCCCUCAGCCUGCUCCUCAUUGGGGGUGUUCAUGUUUGAUGGGGAAUGUUUGCUGUUGGUGCUCGUGGAACUAAGGAGAAAAGGCAUUGAAGAUGGAAGAAGACAGAAGCACAACUGUUAAGACUAUUUAUUAGGAUUUUUUUCUGGAGAACAUAAAAAAAAUGAUGGAUUGAAAAGUGCAAGGUUGUGGCCUGCUCAAAUGAUUGGCAGAAAUGACAUGCAGAAGCGCACAGAGAGGCCAGAGAGAGAGUAUAAGGGUGGCUGACAGCCAGAAAGUCAACAAAAGCACAGCCUGGUAUGAUCACCUGCAGACCCCAGUCCCUCCCCCCACGGGCCUAUCUCGGCCCCUCCUGGGUUAUUCAGGCCCGUUUCCCUGCAGUCCAUUGCUCAAUUGCAUUGAUAACAGUCUGACGCAGCAGAAGCCAGGAUGCAUUGUCCCUCCUUCUUGCCGGCAAACCCGUUCAGCAAGGUCACCGAUCCCCAACUGGCAGCCCAACUGCCAGCUACAAACUGCUUCCAAAUGAAAGAAUUUCUCUGAAGUGUCGAGCAUGCCUGUCUGCCAGCCUCUUUCUGAAAGGAGGAGAGGAAGCAGGCCACCACGGAGAGAAAGUCCAGGCAUUCUUCCAGCAGAAUUCAAAAUCAACAAAGUAACAUUUCUACCCCCAUAAAGAACCUCCGCGAGUCAACAUUUGCACAAAGCUGAACGUCCGAUCCAUACUUACCCACGGGACUGGGGUGAAUGUCAACGUUAUGGUUAUGAGUUAUUUAUAAGAUCACAUAAUACCUUAUUCAUUAAACAUGAAGUUGUCAAUCUGGAAUGAGG
rnacentral:lncRNA from 1 species